GCAUAAUCAUUUGCCCCCUAAUUAGGGGCUAGCAUGAACGGAUAAACGAGAUUAUGACUGUCUCCUUUAUACCUAUAAAAAUUAAUCUACAGGUGAAGAAGCCUGUUUUUAUAUAAAAGACAAGAAGACCCUGCUGAGCUUUAAUUAUUUAUAAAAUUCAUCAAUACCUAUCAAAUAAUUCCUCUUAUAAAUAAUUUUUGUUGGGGCGACAAUGGAGCACACAAACCCUCCACCAUACCCAAAACACCAAGUUUCCCAAAAGAUCCUCUAUAGAUAUUAGGCACUAGCUACCACAGGGAUAACAGACUAAUCUUCCUUAAGAGCCCAAAUCUACAGGAAGGCUUGG
rnacentral:rRNA from 1 species